rnacentral:rRNA from 2 species
UGGAGUAUUACCGGACUCAAAAGGGAUCCGUUUAGUUACGCGUGCUUGGGAGAGAGUAGUACUAGGCUGGGUGACCUCCUGGGAAGUCCACGUUUUGCUCCUC